rfam:Beta vulgaris subsp. vulgaris Bvchr1_un.sca005.con0007.1, whole genome shotgun sequence.
AGAUUGUGGUGUGGGCAAUCUCUUUGCAGGUCCUUAAACCUAUUCCAUGCUUCCUUCAGUGUUUCAUUAGGUUCAUGUUAAAAGGUAGCAAGUUUAUGUCAUAUUU